rnacentral:rRNA from 1 species
AUUGAACGCUGGCGGCAGGCUUAACACAUGCAAGUCGAGCGAGUGGCGGACGGGUGAGUAAUGUCUGGGAAUCUGCCUGAUGGAGGGGGAUAACUACUGGAAACUGUAGCUAAUACCGCAUACCAUCAGAUGUGCCCAGAUGGGAUUAGCUAGUUGGUGGGGUAAAGGCUCACCUAGGCGACGCUCCCUAGCUGGUCUGAGAGGAUGACCAGCCACACUGGAACUGAGACACGGUCCAGACUCCUACGGGAGGCAGCAGUGGGGAAUAUUGCGCAAUGGGCGCAAGCCUGAUGCAGCCAUGCCGCGUGAGUGAAGAAGGCCUUCGGGUUGUAAAGCACUUUCAGCGAGGAGGUGUUACUCGCAGAAGAAGCACCGGCUAACUCCGUGCCAGCAGCCGCGGUAAUUC